rnacentral:rRNA from 1 species
GACGAACGCUGGCGGCGUGCCUAAUACAUGCAAGUAGAACGCUGAAGGAGGAGCUUGCUCUUCUGGAUGAGUUGCGAACGGGUGAGUAACGCGUAGGUAACCUGCCUGGUAGCGGGGGAUAACUAUUGGAAACGAUAGCUAAUACCGCAUAACAGUAGAUGUUGCAUGACAUUUGCUUAAAAGGUGCAAUUGCAUCACUACCAGAUGGACCUGCGUUGUAUUAGCUAGUUGGUGGGGUAACGGCUCACCAAGGCGACGAUACAUAGCCGACCUGAGAGGGUGAUCGGCCACACUGGGACUGAGACACGGCCCAGACUCCUACGGGAGGCAGCAAUAGGGAAUCUUCGGCAAUGGACGGAAGUCUGACCGAGCAACGCCGCGUGAGUGAAGAAGGUUUUCGGAUCGUAAAGCUCUGUUGUAAGAGAAGAACGAGUGUGAGAGUGGAAAGUUCACACUGUGACGGUAUCUUACCAGAAAGGGACGGCUAACUACGUG